AUGCCUUCCUCCAAAGACGAGAUUAGCCUCGGCGAUGACGAGUUCGGCAUGCCCGAAGACCCCUUAGAGCAGGAGCGCUUCAAGCGCCGGCUUAUUGCCACUGCGAGAAGCCUGAAGAAGAAGCAGCAACAGCUUCAAGCUGAUCAAGACCUGCUCACAGAUAGAUGGACAGAAGUCCUGACAGCCGAGGAAUAUGGACUCGAGCGCCAGACGGCUGACCGACCGCCUCGAGGUCGGGAUAAAACAGCAUAUCCGCCCGAAUACCAGCCCGCACCCCCGCGCCAGUUUACUAUGGCCCGGGGCAAUACUCAG
rnacentral:rRNA from 1 species